GUGUACAAAGCUGUAUUUUAAAUUUUAACAUCAUUAGACAUAUUGACUUUGUAUAUUUACUUCGUAGCGAGAGUUCCUGGUUAUGAACCUGUUGUACUAGAAACGCCGUUCUACUUCCGCUUAUACUUUGUUGUACCCGUCGUUGCUUCAAUUACAGUAAUUCUGUGUGUGAUCAUUAUAGCUUGGGCUUGUCUGAAGAAAACACAUUAUAAUGAAGGCCGAAAAGCACAACUCUACGUCAGCUAUCAGCAACGACUCACUUACGUUCCUCCUUCCGAGGUGUCUCGCGACAGCCGUGCUGGCGAUGCUGCUUAUGAUGUUCCCUGGGACUUCCCUAAUGGCAGAGGAACUAUGAUAACAUAAAUGGAUAGAAGAAACAACAACAAAAGGGAAGAGAGAGGACAAACUAUGUGAAGCUAAAACAAGGACAGAUAUAUGUAUAGAGGAUGUAAAUCUUAGUCACUAUCUACUGCUUUGACAACAACCUAUUUUACUGCUUUCUCUACCAAUUAUGAAGUGAUCGCUGUGAAUAUUAGACAAUCCCUCUUCUCUACUUUUGUAUGAUAGUUUCAAAUAUGGGAAGGAAAUCUCCAUUUUCCUGGAGUUAAAACCAAGUUUGUCUUGUUUCCAUUGCAUUAUAUUAUAAUGAAAAUAUAUAUAUUUUUAAAUCAACAAGUUUAUUUAAAAAAAUUAAAAUCCCAGACCCUAGUGAUCACGAUAUUUCACUCCUGCAUCAUAGAUUCACAUUCAACCUUUAAGCUAUCCACAGUCUCACGAUAUCUUAAACAGAUGAUUUACUCCUAAACCUUGCUGUCGUGUCUUUAAAGUUGUCGUGAUCAAGGAGAUUUCUUUAAUUAUGUUUAUGAAUAGUUUGUUUUCAAGUAGGAUGCAGUGGCUCAAGAAACACUUGUUUAAUUUUCAUUAAAGUUGAAACUGCAUCGGAUCUGAAUGUUGGACUCUCAUCCUUAUUAACAGAUGAGACUUUAUAGUCAGCAUGGAGUUAGUAAAUCUCACUUUGGAAAAAUUACAUGAUACAUUAGGAUGGAGUUGGUAACCUAUUGAAGACCUCAUUCACUAUGUUUACAUUGUUGCCCGUAAUAAACUUGAUAGACUUAAGAGAUGUUGUUUACUAGCUCAGCUGUUUAAUGUUCACCUGUUCCUGAUCUAGACACAGUUGUGUGAUGUUUUGUAGUGGAUAAUAAAUAAUCAAGAAUUAUUCUACAUUACCAUUACGUUCUCUUGUAAAUUAAUCUAAGCUCAUGUUUCUAGCUGUUCUAUUAUAGAUAUACGUGGAACGUUGUAGCCUUCAAUAAUAAUAGUGGUAGAAAACGUGGAACAAAAAAUAUAUAUACUUGUAAGGUUUGAAAACUUUCAGUGUUGUGGUACUGCUGUUUGAUAGUGUAUUAUUAUCAGUUGUUGGUUUAGUUUUGUAGUUCUGCUGUCUGAUAGUGUAUUAUUAUCAGUUGUUGGUUUAGUUUUGUGUUACUGCUGUCCAAUAGUGUACUAUUAUCAGUUGUUGGUUUAGUUUUGUGGUACUGCUGUUUGAUAGUGUAUUAUUAUCAGUUGUUGGUUUAGUUUUGUUGUACUGCUGUCUGAUAGUGUAUUAUUAUCAGUUGUUGGUUUAGUUUUGUAGUUCUGCUGUCUGAUAGUGUAUUAUUAUCAGUUGUUGGUUUAGUUUUGUGGUACUGCUGUCUGAUAGUGUACUAUUAUCAGUUGUUGGUUUAGUUUGAUGGUACUGCUGUCUGAUAGUGUAUUAUUAUCAAUUGUUGGUUUAGUUUAGUAUAUACUUGUAUGUAUAUGAACUAAACUUUUAAUUCUGUAUUUUGUAAAAUCAAUGUACAGCUAGUCCUACAAUAUUAGGAAUAUCACUUUAUACACAGAUAAAAUGUAUUUGAAUGUUAUCACUAAUAAUAUUAUACCAUUACAGUAGCUUUUGAAAGGUUCACAGAAACACAUUCUUCAUGACCAACUGUAAGCACAUAAGAUGUUUGUGUGAUUAUAUAACAGUGGAAACAAAGGACAACUUGUUUAAAUUCCAUAUUGAAAAUACUUUACUUAUAUUUAGGUUUGAUGUUUUAAACAAUAACUAUCAUUUUGUAGAGUCUGAUACACGUCAAAGAUGUUCAUUUUUAUUGUAUAAAAAGUGUAUGUGUCAUUUUCAUAUUGAACUUAACAAAUAAAGAGAGAAAAACUUC